GGAACCACCAGAGAAUAGUAACGCCAGCGGUGGUGCGGUGGGUUUUGAAGAUGCUCAGAAGAUAAUUCUCCGGUGGGAUUCUACUGCUUCAGAGGAAGCCAGGGAGAGGAUGAUCUUCGAAGGCGACCGUGAGGAGGUGGAUCGGUAUUUGAAGGCUGUCGAUGAUAUUCAAGAAUCUAUGUCGUCGACCACCAUCUCCGAUGAUCAAGACAAAGUCAACAGCGCCACCAUCCAGAUCGCUAUGGCCAGGCUUGAAGAUGAGUUCCGCAACAUACUUCUCAACCACACUACUCCCGUCGAGUUGGACUCACUCGCCGCCGCCGAUCCCAGCUCCUCUUCAGUCCACUCCUCCGCCGCAGGCGAGUACGAAGACGACGAUCAUGUGGGUGAUGACGAUAUACAAGACCAAAUCCAACGAGCAGAUUCAUCUACAAGUAACAGCAGCACGAGCUAUCGAUCCACUAGNCCACUAGCAGUAUUCGCGAGAUCGAUCUGAUUCCACAGGAAGCAGUCGCUGACCUCCAGUCCAUUGCCAAGCGCAUGAUCUCUGCUGGGUACUUGCGCGAGUGUAUCCAGGUGUACGGGAGUGUACGGAAAUCUGUUGUGGACGCUAACUUUAAGAGACUCGGGAUUGAAAAGCUGAGUAUUGGGGAUAUACAGAGACU
rnacentral:misc_RNA from 1 species